AAAUUUAUCUUUAAUUCAGGUUAUGUCAAUCACUCUACUAAAAGAAUUUUAGCCGGACAUGGUGGAUUGAGCAAUAAAAGUUAUCAUUAAGAAAAAUAUAAUCACGUAAUAAUUAAAAAUACAAACAUUCCCAUUCAAGUUUCACUAAAACAAUUCCCAAAAAUUUCUACAAAAAGAAAAUAUGACAAUAAAAACACAAAUAAAUAUUACGUGGUUAUUUUUCUUCUUUCACCAAGCUCUUCUGCCUGUCCCGUUUACACCACUCCUACUUGCUUCUGCAUCAGUCUGCUUCUCCUACUCAGCUCGUUGUUGCCUUUCGCUUGCGUUUGCUGUGUUCUUUGACGAAACUCGCACUCCGUCUCUUGGUCUCCAAGCUUCGCAAAUCUAGUUUCUGCUUUCCUUCUCUAGCUCAUCCCUCUCUCCUCCAGAUCCGUCCUUUUAGUGUUCUCCUCUUCUCCUUUCAAUAGGCGACUACAAGAGAGAAAAUCUUCUUUCACCCACCUCUUUUUUCCUUUAUAACUCCCCCUUCUCCUUUUUAGCUAAUUCUUUUUUUUUUUAAUUUUCCUCUUCAGCUGCUUCUUUCUUUUCCUCUUCUGGUUUCUACAAUUUUCUUUUCAUUCUUUUUUAAAAAAACGACGUCGUUUUGGACGUCUGGUUCCCAGCCACAAAAUGUUGUUUUGAGUGUUGUUGGGUUGCUAGGUUGUUGCUGCAGGUCUAGGCUAGAUUUCACGGGUUUGCAGAUCUGGACCUGGGUGCAAACUUCUUCUUUUCUUCUUCUCUUUUUAGCCUUUUUUUCUCUUUUCUUCAAAAAUGUAAUCUCCAUCAAAAUUUUACGCAUUAAUAUAUUUUUCUAGUCAGAAUUUAUUUCAAGUUCUUAUAAAUUCAAGUAAUAAGGCUAUAAAAAAUAUGAUAAAAAUAUUGUACAUCAAAUAGAAAAACCCCAUAUUAUCACAUCAUAUAACAAAAAUAGAGAAAACAAGUAUGUGAUAUUCACGAAGUAACGAUAAAAAAAUAUAAUCCCAGUAGUUGCAUU
rnacentral:lncRNA from 1 species